ACGUAGUUAGCCGGGACUUAUUCCUGAAGUACCGUCAUUAUCGUCCUUCAGAAAAGAACUUUACAACCCGAAGGCCUUCAUCGUUCACGCGGCGUUGCUGCAUCAGGGUUGCCCCCAUUGUGCAAUAUUCCUC
rnacentral:rRNA from 1 species